rnacentral:lncRNA from 1 species
GGCAGUAGAUGUAGAGAGAGCAGCCUUUUAAAUACGAGAUGUUUCUGGCAUACCUGUGGGAAGUCCAGAGACCUUGGCAAGGGACUCAGCAGUUGACAAUUUAAGAUAGUAGUUGACAAUCUCCCUUACACCUAACUGAAAGAGGAAAGAGCUUCUUAGAGCUCCCACAGACAGACUCCUCACCUCCUCAGCAUAGUAUUUAGCAGCCAGUCAGUUGUCCAGGGGAACAGUUUUACCAGCUCUAGCUAAAUGGUCCUGGACAGUUGCCAUCUGUAACACUGCAUUGGUCUGCUCAUAUGCCACUGUUUAGAAGGGUGAUAUGAUUGCCCCAGGGUGUUUCCCAUCAUCGGUGAGCAGUAAAAUGGGACCUCUGUAAGUGUUCACUAAAUUACCUUUCUGUUUUGCUAGAAAAAAGACUGCACUGCAACAGGCAGGCUGCUCCUUGUGCUUCUGGUAUGAUGCUGCCAUGGUUAAUCUGUUCUGAUUUCUGCCUUUAUAAACAGAGCUAGAAAAAUAUACUAUCUGAUUGGUACAGUAAGAAGUCACUUAGAAAGUGAUGGACAUGUCUGUUGUACUAGAGGUAUAAACAGGCUUAGAUAGCAACUUUACAUCCAUGUAGGGGUUUUAGACCUAGAAUGAUGGAAGUAGAUGUUUGUGAAUGCAAGCAGCUAGAGAAAUAGCAGGCCUGGGUAAAGUCUGGGGGUGAGCGGAAAGAAUAAACUUAUAAACGACUCAUGUUCAUGAGAGAUCAACUCUAAAAGUACAUGAUUGUUUUUGCUAUAGGCUUUUCCCCGUCACAAAGGAAAACCAUUUGAGGAUAGCAGUCAUGUCAUGUUGUUUAGCGUCUCUGGACUAUUGGCACAAAAAUGAGAUAAUAAAUUCUCCUAAUGAGUGCUAUAGAUACAUUUG